rnacentral:rRNA from 1 species
AGAAACCAACAGGGAUUACCUCAGUAACGGCGAGUGAAGCGGUAACAGCUCAAAUUUGAAAGCUAGCUCUUUUAGGGUUCGCAUUGUAAUUUGUAGAAGAUGCUUCGGGUGUGGCCCCGGUCUAAGUUCCUUGGAACAGGACGUCAUAGAGGGUGAGAAUCCCGUAUGUGACUGGGUGCUUUCGCUCAUGUGAAGCUCUUUCGACGAGUCGAGUUGUUUGGGAAUGCAGCUCAAAAUGGGUGGUAAAUUUCAUCUAAAGCUAAAUAUUGGCCAGAGACCGAUAGCGCACAAGUAGAGUGAUCGAAAGAUGAAAAGCACUUUGGAAAGAGAGUUAAACAGUACGUGAAAUUGUUGAAAGGGAAGCGCUUGCAACCAGACUUGCGCGCUGAUGAUCAUCCGGGCUUCUGUCCGGUGCACUCGUCUGCGCUCAGGCCAGCAUCGGUUUCGGUGGUGGGAUAAAGGCCUUGGGAAUGUAGCUUCUUUCGGGGAGUGUUAUAGCCCUCGGUGCAAUGCCGCCUACCGGGACCGAGGACCGCGCUUCGGCUAGGAUGCUGGCGUAAUGGUUGUAAGCGACCCGUCUUGAAACACGGACCAAGGAGUCUAACAUCUAUGCGAGUGUUUGGGUGUCAAACCCAUACGCGUAAUGAAAGUGAACGGAGGUGAGAACCCUUAAGGGUGCAUCAUCGACCGAUCCUGAUGUCUUCGGAUGGAUUUGAGUAAGAGCAUAGCUGUUGGGACCCGAAAGAUGGUGAACUAUGCGUGAAUAGGGUGAAGCCAGAGGAAACUCUGGUGGAGGCUCGCAGCGGUUCUGACGUGCAAAUCGAUCGUCAAAUUUGCGUAUAGGGGCGAAAGAC